rnacentral:pre_miRNA from 9 species
UCUCGAUAGCGUAAAAGUUAACUUAUUUUUUUAUGGAUUUGAAACGUUUGUCUACGUUUGUCGCUAGGGGCGUUGUUUCAACUCCAUACAAAUUUGAGUUAACUUUUACGCUAUCGA